UUUGGUGACUAUGGCAAAGAGGUCACACCUGUUCCCAUGCCGAACACAGAAGUUAAGCUCUUUAGCGCCGAUGGUAG
rnacentral:rRNA from 1 species